rnacentral:tRNA from 1 species
GGCUGAUUGGUCAAGCGGUUAAGACGCCGCCCUCUCACGGCGGAAUCAGGGGUUCGAUUCCCCUAUCAGCUG